UCAGCAGGUGAUAAGAAAGGCAUGAGAACAGGCUGGAAGGAGAAUGAACUACUGAGGGGCCCAAGCUGAAAGAAAUAAAGACUUCCAGUACAUCACCCUGACAGUAAAGAACCAAGAAAAAGUGAAGUCUGGUUCCUUUCCUGGUAGAUGCUGGUCUUUCUGCGAGCCCAUGGAAAGUUCCUGAGAAGAGAGCUCUCCAUACCUGCUGCUGAUAGCAGAAAGGUCAUGGUAAUGUGUCCCAGCUCCUGAGAGAGUUGGGAUUGUUGAA